UACGGAGGGAGCUAGCGUUGUUCGGAAUUACUGGGCGUAAAGCGCACGUAGGCGGCUUUGUAAGUUAGAGGUGAAAGCCUGGGGCUCAACUCCAGAACUGCCUUUAAAACUGCAUCGCUUGAAUCCAGGAGAGGUGAGUGGAAUUCCGAGUGUAGAGGUGAAAUUCGUAGAUAUUCGGAAGAAACACCAGUGGCGAAGGCGGCUCACUGGACUGGUAUUGACGCUGAGGUGGCGAAAGCGUGGGGAGCAAACAGG
rnacentral:rRNA from 1 species